UGCCCCUCCCCACUCCGCCCCGCCCCGCUCCGCUGGUUCCCGGAAGUCACCGCGGACAAGCGCUCCCGGGCGCGGGCGGGGGUCGUGUGCUUGGAGGAAGCCGCGGAACCCCCAGCGUCCGUCCAUGGCGCGGAGCCUUGGGAGCUGGCUGGGUGGCUGCCUGCUGGUGUCAGCAUUGGGAAUGGUACCACCUCCCGAAAAUGUCAGAAUGAAUUCUGUUAAUUUCAAGAACAUUCUACAGUGGGAGUCACCUGCUUUUGCCAAAGGGAACCUGACUUUCACAGCUCAGUACCUAAGUUAUAGGAUAUUCCAAGAUAAAUGCAUGAGUACUACCUUGACGGAAUGUGAUUUCUCAAGUCUUUCCAAGUACGGUGACCACACCUUGAGAGUCAGGGCUGAAUUUGCAGAUGAGCAUUCAGACUGGGUAAACAUCACCUUCUGUCCUGUGGAUGACACCAUUAUUGGACCCCCUGGAAUGCAAGUAGAAGUACUUGCUGAUUCUUUACAUAUGCGUUUCUUAGCCCCUAAAAUUGAGAAUGAAUACGAAACUUGGACUAUGAAGAAUGUGUAUAACUCAUGGACUUAUAAUGUGCAAUACUGGAAAAACGGUACUGAUGAAAAGUUUCAAAUUACUCCCCAGUAUGACUUUGAGGUCCUCAGAAACCUGGAUCCAUGGACAACUUAUUGUGUUCAAGUUCGAGGGUUUCUUCCUGAUCGGAACAAAGCUGGGGAAUGGAGUGAGCCUGUCUGUGAGCAAACCACCAAUGACGAAACAGUCCCCUCCUGGAUGGUGGCUGGCAUCCUCAUGGCCUCGGUCCUCAUGGUCUGCCUGGCACUCCUCGGCUGCUUCGCCUUGCUGUGGUGCGUUUACAAGAAGACAAAGUACGCCUUCUCCCCUAGGAAUUCUCUUCCACAGCACCUGAAAGAGAGACAGGGUUUCGCCAUGUUGCCCAGGCGGGUCUUAAACUCCUAAGCUCAAGCGAUCCUCCCACCUCGGCCUCUGAAAGUGCUGGGAUUACGGGCAUGAGCCACCACGCCCGGCCCUUCAACUGUUAACCUGUAUUGAUCACCCACACUGCUCUCUGGCAUCAAUUUUUCCACUUCUCAGAAACACUUUGGCCCACAAAUUCCCAAAGGAACCUUGUUCUUCAUUCUGGAAAACAUGAUGCCAACAUAUCAGAAUAAAGGACAGAUAGGAGCUUUUGCUUCAAAGUGAAUCACUUCAUGGAUGUUAAAGUGUCCUGAAAGAUUCUAAACUUCACAACUUUUGAUAGUAACUGUACUAUAUUUGCAACAUAUUUGCAUAUAUUAAUUGUUAUAUCUGAAAAGCAUGAGAUUCCUGUUUCAUAAAAUUAAAUGAAGUAAGUUAAUAUUUUAUUGCUAGGUAUAAGAACUGCUGAUGAGGACAUCUAUAGAAGUAGAAAAUUCUAAAUGUCCUACCAUCACCAAUAAGAAACUUUUGACCAUCCCGUAGAUACAAUACAAUCACAUGGAAAACUGUAUACAAUAUAUUGUAUGUGAAGAUCCCAUGAAAAGAACAGGGACUGUAGGAAAUAUAAUCAUCUAAGCUACGGGUAAGAACAUCAAGAUUCUUUAAAGCAAUGGCACUCAAAAUGUGUUUCCUAGACCAGCAGCAUCAGGACCACAUGAAAGCUUAGGAAUGCAAACUCUCCAGCCCCACCUCAGGUCUACUGGCUCAGUAACUGUGAGGGAGAAGUCCGUAUUUUCAUCUAUGUUAUAACAGGUCCUUGGGUGACUCCAAUAAACAUUAAAGUUGGCAAACCAUUGCCUUUAAGGGUGCAUAAGGUGUUAAUUUAGUACAAAAUUUGCAGUUUCUGUGUUGUUGUGACUUUCUAUUUUUGCAGGAGUAGAAAAGUACCCCAUUGCAGUAGAGGUAAGUGAAUCCAAAACCCCAACAGCAACUGAAGAGGUUCUUUAUGACAGCUGGAACCUGCACUCCAGUUGCCCUUGCACGUUUGUGGUUUAACAGUCCCAGAGACAAAUCUGCCACUUCUGGCUUGCAUCCAACAAAAGUGCAGCUGUUCAUCAUUAGGAGAUGUUGGCUGAUGUACAUAGACAUGUAAGAAAGAUUCAAAGCAUCAUGGAUGGAUCACCAAUAACACCAGUAUAUGCAAGACCAGAGUAGAGUGUGUGAUCCAGGUCCUAGGAUUGACAAAUGAGGACUCAGUCCCUACUUGGGACGGUGUUUUAUUUUGACUUUUUUCUGAAACAGCAGAGAAGCUUACCAAAUAAUCACAAGGAGAUAAGAAAGUGUUUACACUUGUUUCAGUUGCUCUUCACUGGCUCCCUAUGACCAACACUCACAAUUCUAUGACCUUAGCAGUUGCACUGAGAAGUCAGAAGAACCUGCUAUCGUGGGUUCAUAAUCUUUUAUUACCUUUCACUGAGAAACAAUUUAUACUACUAAACAAGACAUAAGUUAUGAUGCUCAAGAUUUUAAGUGCCUUUUGAACUAAAAACAAGCAAAAAAAUUGUGACCUGCAUAUAAUGUAAAUGGUUUGUCUUCAAGUCAAAAGCCACAGGUUUACCUCUGCAGCUUUACUCUUUGCUAAACAUUGCUUUCGUGUAUUGCUUAUGCAUGCUUUCUGCAUCCCAAAAAGUAUAUAGAGAAUAACAGUUUAAGUCCUCCAGAUGAGUUACUACCUCUACUAUAUGUUUCAUCCUCAUUACGUGUUUCAUUGCUUAUUAAUAUCUGUGUUUUGUAGUGGACUUCAUGAGGACAGGUAAUGUUACCAACUGAAUUGUGUACCCCCAAAAUUCACAUGUUGAAACCCUAAUCCCCAAUGUGACUGUAUUUGAAAUAGGGCCUACAGCAGGUAAUUAAGGUUAAAUGAGGUCAUAAGGGUGGGGCCCUGAAUCGAUGAGAUUAGUGUCCUUAUAAGAAGAAACAGCAGAUACCUUGUUCUCUCCACCAUGAGGACACAGUGAGAAUGUAGCCAUCUGUGAGCAGGAAGGGAGGCCUCACCAGGAACCAAAUGAGCCAGAACCUUAAUCUUGAACUUCUCACCCUGCAGAACUGUGAGAAAAUAAAUUUCUGUUAUUUAA